rnacentral:lncRNA from 1 species
UUUUAAUUUAAUUUCUGUAUCCAUUAUUUAGAUUUUAUUUUAUAAAAUGAGUUCCCCUGAUUUCAUUUAUGUCUUACUGUUGUUUAGUAUUUUUUAUGUAUACCUUUUUCUCCUUAAAUUCUUAAAACAUUUUUAUGUAUUUGCCAUGGAUAUUAAGGGACGUGAUAUGUAAAGGAAAGGCAUCUGGCACUAAUUGGUUAAAUCACACCUGUAAAACAAAUUGGGGGGGGGGUUGGGAGUUUGCUUUCUGUGUUGGUGAGUAAUCAAUUACUUUCGAUCUUAAACACUACCUCUUGUGGAUAGACUUGACUAAUAUGCACUUAGAAGAGGACUGAGAGAAGCCAAAUCAGUCAUUUAUUAGCCCUAUAAUAUUUUUGUUUUCAUCACUUGAUAAAUCUAAGAGAGCUUAGUUUUACAUUCAAAAAGUAUUUAUAUUUGAUAAGUCGAAUGAUUUAAGUUGAAACUUCACAGAAGUAUGUGUUCAUUCCUUGAUUACCUAUACUAGCAGAUGGGAAAUAGGGUACAGUCAGUUUUGUUUAAUGUUUAUACAAUGUUUGAAGCAGGUGAACCUAAAGUUGUAUUUUCAGGUUCAUUUUGACUGGUUGAAGGAGAGAGAAUCUGUGUCUGAUCCACAGUAAAACUUUCAUGAUCUAUUGAGAGUUGACUGUUACCACUUGCCAAUCGAAACUGGAUAUUGAAACAUUUUUAACGAAACGCACUUUAAUCUGAAAUAAAAUUUAAAAAGAAAAAAGU